AUUGAACGCUGGCGGCAUGCCUUACACAUGCAAGUCGAACGGCAGCACGGGAGCAAUCCUGGUGGCGAGUGGCGAACGGGUGAGUAAUAUAUCGGAACGUGCCCAGUCGUGGGGGAUAACGUAGCGAAAGCUACGCUAAUACCGCAUACGAUCUAUGGAUGAAAGCGGGGGAUCGCAAGACCUCGCGCGAUUGGAGCGGCCGAUAUCAGAUUAGGUAGUUGGUGAGGUAAAGGCUCGCCAAGCCGACGAUCUGUAGCUGGUCUGAGAGGACGACCAGCCACACUGGGACUGAGA
rnacentral:rRNA from 1 species